GCGAGGAUAGCUCAGUGGUAGAGCAGGUGGCUUUUAACCAUCGUGAUGCGGGUUCGAAUCCCGCUCCAGCGCG
rnacentral:tRNA from 1 species